AUAGCUGUCUGCCAGAAUGUGGCUCUGAGUGCAGAGGACAAGCUUCUUAUGCGACACCGGCUGCGGAAACACAAGAUCCUAGUGAAGGUGUACCCCAACCAGGUCCUGAGGCCUUUCCUGGAGGAUUCCAAGUACCAAAACCUGCUGCCCCUUUUUGUGGGGCACAACAUGCUGCUGGUCAGUGAAGAGCCCAAGGUCAAGGAGAUGUUACGGAUCUUAAGGACUGUGCCAUUCCUGCCGCUGCUAGGUGGCUGCAUUGAUGACAUCAUCCUCAGCAGGGAGGGCUUUGUCAACUACUCCAAGCUCCCCAGCUUGCCCCUGGUGCAGGGGGAGCUUGUAGGAGGCCUCACCUGCAUCACGGCCCAGAACCACUCCCUGCUCCAGCACCAGCCCCUCCAGCUGACCACCCUGUUGGACCAGUACAUCAGACAGCAACGCAAGGAUUCUGUUGUGUCAGCCAAUGGGAAGCCAGAUCCUCCUGACCGUGUUCCAGACUCGUAGCCAGCCUGUUUAGCCAGCCCUGCCUAUAAAUACACUCUGCCCUAAAAAAAAAAAAAAAAAAAAAAAA